AUUUAGUUAUAAGCAGAUCUGUAAAAAUUAAUCAUGUCAUUGUCCAGCUCAGUUAAAUUCUCAUUCCAAUGGCAUCACCACAUCAUUUAUAAUAAUUGAAUGAACAAAAUUGCACUGAAUAUACUGUUUAUUUGUUUCUAGGAGAGGGUCAACCCAUUGAAAAGUGUUCAGCGUACAGUGUAGCCCUCUUUGCAACAGAGGAAGCAUUAGGAGAGAGAAGAAGAGAGACAGUGAAAAGGCACUCGACAGAUGUUGGAAAAUGCACUGGUAACAACUAAAAAAAGAAGACCAAAAAUAUAAUUCAACAGAAGAUGAUGGCUGUGGUGAAACAAGCACUCAAAUAAUGGAACUAAGAGCUGUGGGAGUGCUGGAGAAAUCAAGUGUACCAAGUCCUCUGUCUCCUCAGCCAUGUAAGAGAUCUUCAGAAAUGAAGAGAUUGAGGAGUUAAAUGAAAUCAAAAAGUUAAAAGAAGAUUUAUAAUAUUAGUGCCAAUUCAGUAUGAAAACAGAGAGAGAGAGCUGAGGGAGUGGAAAGACUAUAUCCAAAAUAGUGUUUCCACAUCUGAGAUAAAGGCAGUCAUAAGACCCCAGCGGAACGAUGAGGAUAAGCUCUUCAAAAAAUGAAACCUGCCUGAAUACUGAGGGAAGAAAUGUGCAUGAUUUGUAAAUAAACACUGAGUACAAUUAGUGUUACUC